CGGCGGACGGGUGAGUAAUGUCUGGGAAACUGCCUGAUGGAGGGGGAUAACUACUGGAAACGGUAGCUAAUACCGCAUAACGUCGCAAGACCAAAGAGGGGGACCUUCGGGCCUCUUGCCCUCGGAUGUGCCCAGAUGGGAUUAGCUAGUAGGUGGGGUAACGGCUCACCUAGGCGACGAUCCCUAGCUGGUCUGAGAGGAUGACCAGCCACACUGGAACUGAGACACGGUCCAG
rnacentral:rRNA from 1 species